rnacentral:rRNA from 1 species
CAGUAGCCGCGGUAAUACGAAGGGGGCUAGCGUUGUUCGGAUUUACUGGGCGUAAAGCGCACGUAGGCGGACUUUUAAGUCAGGGGUGAAAUCCCGGGGCUCAACCCCGGAACUGCCUUUGAUACUGGGAGUCUUGAGUUCGAGAGAGGUGAGUGGAAUUGCGAGUGUAGAGGUGAAAUUCGUAGAUAUUCGCAGGAACACCAGUGGCGAAGGCGGCUCACUGGCUCGAUACUGACGCUGAGGUGCGAAAGCGUGGGAAGCAAACAGGAUUAGAUACCCCAUAGUCCCUGUCUCUUAUACA